rnacentral:rRNA from 1 species
CAUUNCACAAAUAUGAAGCCGGACUGGGAUAGGGCCUCGCUGCCUUGCCCGUCUGGCGCCAUAUUCACCCAUGUCUUUUUGCGUACUACUUGUUUCCUUGGCGGGUCCGCCCGCCAAUUGGACCUUAUUCAAACCUUUUUUUCAGUUGCAAUCAGCGUCAGCAAAACAAAUGUAAUCAAUUACAACUUUCAACAACGGAUCUCUUGGUUCUGGCAUCGAUGAAGAACGCAGCGAAAUGCGAUAAGUAGUGUGAAUUGCAGAAUUCAGUGAAUCAUCGAAUCUUUGAACGCACAUUGCGCCCUUUGGUAUUCCAAAGGGCAUGCCUGUUCGAGCGUCAUUUGUACCCUCAAGCUUUGCUUGGUGUUGGGCGUCUUGUCUCUCUCCCGAGACUCGCCUUAAAAUCAUUGGCAGCCGGCCUACUGGUUUCGGAGCGCAGCACAUUAUUUGCGCUCUUGUCCAGCCGCGGUCGCGCGUCCAUGAAGCUUCUUUCAACCUUUUGACCUCGGA